AAAGGGUAAACACUUUUUCAUAGUAUGAUUCCUUUCCUCUACUCCACAAUACAAUCUCCAAACACAUUUCUACAACAUCAUUCAGCUUCGAACUGAAUAUAUGUCUGAAAUUUUCAGCUGGAGUAUGAGCGCAACAAGGAGGCUUUAGAUAMAGAAAGGAAAUAAUCACAAAGAAAAGCUUUCAGAAUGGACAGUAACYUGUUUUACUACUGUAUUUCUUUGUGUUAGUUUGGGAUUUCCUCGGCCCUUUUGGUGUAAAGGGGGAACAAGGAGACAARGGUCUACCAGGAGACCAAGGAAGACCUGCCGUCUUUCCGGGACCCAAAGGAUCUGAUGGAAGUCCGGGGAGCAGAGGCCCACCGGGACCCAGAGGAUCGUGGAAAGAGUUCUUUAAAGGAGAGGAAGGGCCRAGGGGAAGACCUGGCAAUGCAGGGGCUAAAGGAUUUAAAGGGCAUCAUGGAGAAUGUCAGUGCAGUAGUGAAAAUUUCCCCCGCGGCUUACCUGGUCCUGCCGGUGAGCUCGGAGAUCCUGGGAUGACCGGAGAGUUCGGAUACGAAGGGGACAUGGGAGACGAGGGUCCCCGAGGCGCCGACGGGUUUCCUGUAAGGAAAUAAUGACUUUAGUCUUUUU